rnacentral:rRNA from 1 species
CAGCCGCCGCGGUAAUACGAAGGGUGCAAGCGUUAAUCGGAAUUACUGGGCGUAAAGCGUGCGUAGGCGGUGAGUUAAGUCUGCUGUGAAAUCCCCGGGCUCAACCUGGGAAUGGCAGUGGAUACUGGCUCGCUAGAGUGUGUCAGAGGAUGGUGGAAUUUCCGGUGUAGCGGUGAAAUGCGUAGAGAUCGGGAGGAACAUCAGUGGCGAAGGCGGCCAUCUGGGACAACACUGACGCUGAGGCACGAAAGCGUGGGGAGCAAACAGGAUUAGAUACCCCCGUAGUCCCUGUCUCUUAUAC